GCAAGUCGACGCGAAAGAAGCCUUCGGGUUUCAAGUAGAGUGGCGUCCGGGUGAGUAACACGUAGGUAAUCUACCUUCGGGUGGGGAAUAACGCAGGGAAACUUGCGCUAAUACCGCAUAAUGCAGCGGCACCACAUGGUGACAGUUGUUAAAGCGGGGGCUUUUCGGACCUCGCGCCUGAAGAGGAGCCUGCGGCAGAUUAGCUAGUUGGUAGGGUAACGGCUUACCAAGGCGACGAUCUGUAACCGGCCUGAGAGGGCGGUCGGUCACACUGACACUGACAUACGGGUCAGACUCCUACGGGAGGCAGCAGUCGGGAAUUUUGGGCAAUGGGCGAAAGCCUGACCCAGCAACGCCGCGUGAAGGAUGAAAUCCUUCGGGAUGUAAACUUCGCAAGAAUGGGAAGAAUGAGCGAGUACUAAUACUGCUCGUGAUGACGGUACCAUUUGUAAGCUCCGGCUAACUCCGUGCCAGCAGCCGCGGUAAUACGGGGGGAGCAAGCGUUGUUCGGAUUUACUGGGCGUAAAGGGCGCGUAGGCGGCCAGCGCAAGUCAGUUGUGAAAUCUCCGGGCUUAACUCGGAAAGGUCAACUGAUACUGCGCGGCUAGAGUGCAGAAGGGGCAACUGGAAUUCUCGGUGUAGCGGUGAAAUGCGUAGAUAUCGAGAGGAACACCUGCGGCGAAGGCGGGUUGCUGGGCUGACACUGACGCUGAUGCGCGAAAGCCAGGGGAGCGAACGGGAAUUAGAUACCCCGGUAGUCCUGGCCUUAAACGAUGGAUGCUUGGUGUCUGGAGUUUUAUAGUCUCCGGGUGCCGUAGCUAACGCGUUAAGCA
rnacentral:rRNA from 1 species